rnacentral:rRNA from 1 species
UACGGGGGGGGCAAGCGUUGUUCGGAAUUAUUGGGCGUAAAGGGCGCGUAGGCGGUGCGGUAAGUCUGUAGUGAAAUCUCUGGGCUCAACUCAGAGUCUGCUGCAGAAACUGCCGUGCUUGAGUGUGGGAGAGGUGAGUGGAAUUCCCGGUGUAGCGGUGAAAAUGCGUAGAUAUCGGGAGGAACACCUGUGGCGAAAGCGGCUCACUGGACCACAACUGACGCUGAGGCGCGAAAGCUAGGG